rnacentral:rRNA from 1 species
CCUACGGGUGUCAGCAGUAGGGAAUAUUCCACAAUGGACGAAAGUCUGAAGCAGCCACGCCGCGUGAGUGAAGAAGGGUUUCGGUUUGUAAAGCUUUGUUGGUAGGGAAGAAAGAUCGAGGAAGUAACUGCCCUUUACUUGACGGUAAUUACUUGGAACGUCACAGUCAACUACAUGCCACCAGCCGCGGCAAUACGUAGGUGGCAUGAGUUGUUCGGUUUUAUUGGGCGUAAAGAGAGUUCAGGCGGUUCAAUAAGUCAGAUGUGAAAGCCUUCGGCUCAAGCGGCGAAUUGCAGUAGAAACUGUCGGUCUUGAGUUCAGGAGAGGAGAGCGGAACUCGAGGUGUAGCGGUGGAAUGCGUAGAUAUAAGGAAGAACACCAGUUGCGAAGGCGGCUCUCUGGACUGAAACUGACGCUGAGGCUCGAAAGCGUGGGUAGCGAACAGGAUUAGAUACCCUUGUAGUC